CGCAUCUGUGCAUGCAGCAUAUCAAUAAGCGGAGGAAAAGAAACUAACAAGGAUUCCCCUAGUAACGGCGAGUGAAGCGGGAAGAGCUCAAAUUUGAAAUCUUAAAGGGUUUCCCUUUACGAAUUGUAGUUUAAAGAAGUGUUUUCUGUUGAGGUUUUGGUAAAAGUUCUUUGGAAUAGGACAUCAUAGAGGGUGAGAAUCCCGUAUUUGACCUUUACUUUCAACUUUGUGAUACACUUUCAAAGAGUCGGAUUGUUUGGGAAUGCAGUCCAAAAUGGGUGGUAAAUUUCAUCUAAAGCUAAAUAUUGGCGAGAGACCGAUAGCGAACAAGUACCGUGAGGGAAAGAUGAAAAGAACUUUGAAAGGAGAGUUAAACAGUACGUGAAAUUGUCAAAAGGGAAGCGUUUGACACCAGUGUUGUUUUUCUGAAAAUCAAUUAAAGAACUGUUUAUGCUAAGUUGUUUAGACUUUAUCAGCUAACUGUUUAGUUUUGAGCUUUUCUUUAAUGCACUUUUCAGUUAACAAGUCAACAUCAAUUUCUUUUGCUGUAAAAAAGCUUGAGGAAGGUGGCUUGAGAUUCGUCUUAAGUGUUUAUAGCCUCUUGCCUAUGCAGUCGGAGAGAUUGAGGUCUGCAGCGUAGAUCCUUCGGGGCUAAAUGCAUUUGUGCUAAGUUAUAGCAUUUCAUAGACAACUUGUUGACUAUGAUUUGUCUUGUAGCUUACUCGCUUAUGUUAUUUUACCUACGCUUAGGAUGUUGAACGCGCACAGAGUCUC
rnacentral:rRNA from 1 species